UGAGCAAUCUGCCCUUCUCUUUGGAAUAAGCGUUGGAAACGACGUCUAAUGCCGAAUACGACCUCCUUUCGCAUGAUCGGAGGUGGAAAGCUCCGGCGGAGAAGGAUGAGCUCGCGGCCUAUCAGCUAGUUGGUGUGGGUAAUGGCCCACCAAGGCGACGACGGGUAGCCGGCCUGAGAGGGCGACCGGCCACACUGGGACUGAGGCACGGCCCAGACUCCUACGGGAGGNAG
rnacentral:rRNA from 1 species